ensembl:snRNA U6 U6 spliceosomal RNA
GUGCUCGCUUCGGCAGCACAUAUACUAAAAAUUGGAACGAUACAGAGAAGAUUAGCAUGGCCCCUGUGCAAGGAUGACACGCAAAUUCGUGAAGCAUUCCAUAUUUUU